rnacentral:rRNA from 1 species
UACGUAGGUGGCAAGCGUUGUCCGGAUUUAUUGGGUUUAAAGGGUGCGUAGGCGGUCUAUUAAGUCAGUGCUGAAAUAUCCCGGCUUAACCGGGAGGGUGGCAUUGAUACUGAUGGACUUGAGUGGAGUUGAGGUAGGCGGAAUUGACGGUGUAGCGGUGAAAUGCUUAGAUAUCGUCAAGAACACCGAUAGCGAAGGCAGCUUACUAAGCUCUAACUGACACUGAUGCACGAAAGUGUGGGGAUCAAACAGG